UACGUAGGGUGCGAGCGUUGUCCGGAAUUAUUGGGCGUAAAGAGCUCGUAGGCGGUGUGUCGCGUCGGCCGUGAAAACCUGCAGCUUAACUGUGGGCUUGCGGUCGAUACGGGCAUCACUGGAGUUCGGCAGGGGAGACUGGAAUUCCUGGUGUAGCGGUGAAAUGCGCAGAUAUCAGGAGGAACACCGGUGGCGAAGGCGGGUCUCUGGGCCGAUACUGACGCUGAGGAGCGAAAGCUAGGGGAGCAAACGGG
rnacentral:rRNA from 1 species